rfam:Lactobacillus buchneri CD034, complete genome.
UAUGGGGUAGGAUUCAAUGCGUUAAGUGUCGGAGGAACGGAAUGUGAACUUCGAACGAAAAAUGAUCGGCUUCGACUUGUCGACCAUUUGCGGUGUUGUUUCCGCAUUCGCUAUG